UACGGGGGGGGGCAAGCGUUGUUCGGAAUGACUGGGCGUAAAGGGCUCGUAGGCGGCCAACUAAGUCAGACGUGAAAUCCCUCGGCUUAACCGGGGAACUGCGUCUGAUACUGGAUGGCUUGAGAUUGGGAGAGGGAUGCGGAAUUCCAGGUGUAGCGGUGAAAUGCGUAGAUAUCUGGAGGAACACCGGUGGCGAAGGCGACAUCCUGGACCAACACUGACGCUGAGGAGCGAAAGCCAGGGGAGCAAACGGG
rnacentral:rRNA from 1 species